rnacentral:rRNA from 1 species
UACGAAGGGGGCUAGCGUUGUUCGGAAUUACUGGGCGUAAAGCGCACGUAGGCGGAUCGAUCAGUCAGGGGUGAAAUCCCAGGGCUCAACCCUGGAACUGCCUUUGAUACUGUCGAUCUGGAGUAUGGAAGAGGUGAGUGGAAUUCCGAGUGUAGAGGUGAAAUUCGUAGAUAUUCGGAGGAACACCAGUGGCGAAGGCGGCUCACUGGUCCAUUACUGACGCUGAGAUGCGAAAGCGUGGGGAGCAAACAGG